UGCACGGGUAGGACCUGAGGGGCUCGCCCUCCCUCCACGCCGAAAUGGGCGCUAUGCGGAGGUCAGUAACCCGUGCUAUUUAUGUAGCAAGUGCUGGCAAAACCAAACACACUGUUGUGAACUCCCGCCCUGCGGGGCUGGUGGUGGCGGGGCCAUCUCUGGAGGGAGAUGGUUACCGCCUUUGCAGGGGGAAGGUCAGGUCCGGAAGGAAGCAGCCUAACCCCUGACACCAGCGUUCGCAGGUCCACGGGAGGAAUAUCGGUGUGUUUGGUUUUGCCAGCACUUGCUACAUAAAUAGCACGGGGGCCGUGCA
rnacentral:SRP_RNA from 1 species